GCCAUGGCUGUCACCAUCACGCUCAAAACACUGCAGCAGCAGACCUUCAAGAUCCUCAUGGAGACCGACGAGACAGUGAGGGUACUAAAGGAGAAGAUAGAAGCUGAGAAAGGUCGUGAUGCUUUCCCCAUGGCUGGACAGAAACUUAUUUAUGCCAGCAAGAUCUUGAGCGAUGAUGUCCGCAUCAGGGGCUAUCAUAUUGAUGAGAAGAAUUUUGUAAUCAUCAUGGUGACCAAGACCAAAGCUGGCCAGGGUACCUCAGCACCCCCAGAGGCCUCACCUACAGCUGCCCCAGAGUCCUCUACAUCCUUCCCGCCUGCCCCUACCUCAGGCAUGUCCCACCCCCCACCUGCCGCCAGACAGGACAAGAGCCCGUGGGAUGAAUCCACCCCCACGACGUCCCCAGAGUCCGUGUCAGGCUCUGUUCCCUCUUCAGGUAGCAGCGGGCGAGAGGAAGAUGCAGCCUCCACGCUAGUGACGGGCUCUGAGUAUGAGACGGUGAUCACAGAGAUCAUGUCCAUGGGCUAUGAGCGGGAGCGGGUCGUGGCUGCCCUGAGAGCCAGCUAAAACAACCCCCACUGAGCAGUGGAGUAUAUGCUCACGGGAAUUCCUGGGAGCCCCGAGCCGGAACACGAUUCUGUCCAGGAGAGCCAGGUAUCUGAGCAGCUGGCCACGGAAGCAGCAGGAGAGAAACCCCUGGAGUUCCUGCGGGACCAGCCCCAGUUCUAGAACAUGCGGCAGGUGAUUCAGCAGAACCCUGCACUGCUGCCCGCUCUGCACCAACAGCUGGGCCAGGAGAAUCCUCAGCUUUUGCAGCAAAUUAGCUGGCACCAGGAGCAGUUCAUCCAGAUGCUGAACGAACCCCCUGGAGAGCUGGCAGACAUCUCAGAUGUGGAGGCAGAGGUGGGUGCCAUAGGAGAGGAGGCCCGCCUAUGAACUACAUCCAGAUGAUGCUGCAGGAGAAAGAAGCUAUAGAGAGGUUGAAGGCCCUGGGGUUUCCAGAGAGCCUGGUUAUCCAGGCCUAUUUCGCGUGUGAAAAAAACGAAAACUUGGCUGCCAACUUCCUCUUGAGUCAGAACUUUGAUAAUGAGUGAUGCCAGGAGACCAGGCGACCCAAACCCCCACCCUAACUCUACUCCAUAAAAGUUUUAUAAAAUAAAUAUAUACUCAUGUU